rnacentral:lncRNA from 1 species
AAUUUACUAUUGGAUUUGCAAUUAGUUCGGUUGAUCAGAUCCGGUGGACGGCGGUAGCAACGUGUAGAUGGACAUGCACAUCUUUGGCCCAAGCAUAUCGCUGGCUCGUCCGACCUGAGCUACUGAGCUCGACACUUGUUCAGGUGCGCCACGACCGAGGCUCCUUCAGUUCUCUACCAGUUUAUCAGUAGAGGCUUAGAUACUAAAGGUGCAUCUAAGCAGCCAAACCAAUUUUGAUCCUGGCCUGGCAUCAGCACCAAGCACAGCGGCAUAGGUUGGUUGAUUGGAGGCCCAGUGGUUGUUAAUUAGGACUCACAAUCUUAUUGUGAAAUAGCAAUAUCUUACAUGUUAGAGCAACUGUUAACUAGAGCCUAACGAAUCAAAGUAUUACUAAAAGAAAACCAGCGAGCCUCUCCCCGAUACAUACAGAGUAUUCUCUGGGACGACAGGAGUAGUUUGUAUUAUUGAUUGGUACUGAUUUAUUUGUAGAUGAUGACAGCCCCUUGUCCUUGUUUUUUUGCUUUUCAACCUGUGUGNNNNNNNNNNCAACUAGAGCCUAACGAAUCAAAAUACACACUGUAUUUUCUUUAAAAGAAAACCAGCGAGCCUCUCCCCAAUACAUACAGAGUAUUCUCUGGGAUGACAAGAGUAGUUUGUAGUAUUGAUUGGUACUGGUUUAUUUGUUGAUGAUGACAGCCCCUUGUCCUUGUUUUUUUGCUUUUCAACCUGUGUGACAAGAAGUGCUGCUAAUAGCCCGAUUAUUACUACUGCAGAAUACAACUACUUUUGGCCUUUGUGCGGCUGCCUACUGUCGAUUCAAGUAUACUAUGAUCAACUUGAGUCUAGGCGCUAGUCCCCACUGCUGUCUUUUUAACACUCGCUUACCACGCUCGUUCACAUGGCAUGUCCUUGUGCGCUUGUGCCGGCCAGCGCCUUGUAACUGAUGACAGCUACCCCGGUGUGCACUGUUAAUAGCUAAUUACUUAGAUAACAGUGAGCAUCCAAUGUACUACUUGAUCAGAUCCGUUUGAGGGCUAAACACUCACUAAGCUCACUCUCUCUUUCGCACUGUCGCUAUCCGCCGCUUCAUCUCUUCUCACCACCGGCGCUCCCACUCCCGACCCUGGUGCUCCACCUCGCGGUUAGCAGCACAGCUCUCGUCGCCUCCUCACCUGCCUGCAGUGCAGUCACCUUGCACUCUCUCCUGUCACCACGGCGACGGUGGCUCCCGGAUCUGGACCAGCCGCACCACCGCUGCACAUCACCAGCAGGUACCAAAGUUAGAACCCCCCCUGCCUCUCUCUCCCUUUCUCUCUCAAAGUCUCAAUGACUCAACACAACCCCUUUUUGUAGCUAGCUGGGACUAGGCAGACGGCAGCGGCUUCCAUCACCGGCAGA